GAUGAACGCUGGCGGCGUGCCUAAUACAUGCAAGUCGAGCGAACGGACGAGAAGCUUGCUUCUCUGAUGUUAGCGGCGGACGGGCGAGUAACACGUGGAUAACCUACCUCUAAGACUUGGAUAACUUCAGGAAACCGGAGCUAAUACCGGUUAAUAUUUUGAACCGCAUGGUUCAAAAGUGUAAGACGGUAUUGUUGUCACUUAUAGAUGGAUCCGCGCUGCAUUAGCUAGUUGGUAAGGUAACGGCUUACCAAGGCAACGAUGCAUAGGCGACCUGAGAGGGUGGUCAGCCACACUAGAACGGAAACACGGUCCAGACUCCUACGGGAGGCAGCAGUAGGGAAGCUUCCGCAAUGGGCGAAAGCCUGACGGAGCAACGCCGCGUGAGUGAUGAAGGUCUUCGGAUCGUAAAACUCUGUUAUUAGGGAAGAACAUAUGUGUAAGUAACUGUGCACAUCUUGACGGUACCUAAUCAGAAAGCCACGGCUAACUACGUG
rnacentral:rRNA from 1 species